GUCAGGAUGGCCGAGUGGUCUAAGGCGCCAGACUCAAGUUUUGGUCUCCCCUGGAGGCGUGGGUUCGAAUCCCACUUCUGACA
rnacentral:tRNA from 1 species